rnacentral:sRNA from 1 species
UUUUAUUUUGUUCGAAU